UUCUUGCUCUUCGUCUUUUCUCCAUGAUAGGCUUUGAUGACUGUAAAGAAAAAAAAAAGAGCGCUGAGUUCCCAUGGGACCUGCCAUUUCACCCCUCGAUUUUAAGGGAGAAAGGAGCCCCCAACCCCGUCUUAAUCUCUUGGGGCUGCAAGAGAUGCAGAUUCCCUGCAGCCUGCCAGGGACGUGGUAGCUGCCCUGCCAAAGAGCUAUCCUGGGAGGGCUAUUGAAAGAGCUUUGAGCACUCGAGCGGCUCUGCACCCAGCAUUUGGAUGGAGAAAGGGAUAGGCAAGAAAGCCAAGUGUCUACCCACAGAAGAGGAUUCAGGAAUGCUUGCAGCAAGAGUCCUGGUUGCCAUGCAGUGGCAUUCGAAACGACCGCAACUCUGCAUUCCAUCUUUGAUAAAAAUAAGUUGCUACUUCUAAACAAAACUGCCUAGUUGGUUUCUGGCCAAGCUGGGACCUCGAACUGCAUAUCGCGGGUGACGGUGGAAAAACA